UCAGUUUAGCUGGCUUUUUUACCGCAACCUCCACACCUGCCGCUCCUCGUCGGGGGUUGCUUAUUCGUCAUAACUUAUUUCGCAACUAACCUGCUACUACAGGCCGUCCGGCUAUCUGCGACCUGCCGACCCCCCGGUAGCUUAGAGCUCAGCUGGAAAGUCUGGCUCCACUGAGAAACCAAGACCAACGGGUAGAAUAGGAAGUCUAUCUGAUAUUAUUUGUUUACUUAGCUUUUGAAAGUCUAUAACCAUUAUUUUCUUUGGUUGACCGUUCUCAUCUGUUCCUUUCUAUGAGACAGUCCAUAUGACAGGGUUAUAAAGGCUUUUGCUUUCUUUUAAUAUUUUGAAGUACUUUAAGGUCAAUUAUUUGCACUAAACCUGUCUGCACCGGGGUUUUUGUUUUUAGUUUGAGUUGCCUCUGCUGCCUGCCUUUCGAUGUUAGAGUUGCUUCUGUCGCUUUGUUUUCGUUGAAGUCAAGGUGUUGAAGCUCUUCUUUGAGCUAGAUGCGAAGUUAGAGGAAACAACCGUGAACUACGCGUUGCGCUCGCUAAUCAGUUAUUUUUAUUGUUAUAACACAGUACAACAGCUAAUCUGGGGUGUGAGAAAUUCCAAGUCAGGGUGAUGGUACUAGGUCAGUAUAGUAAACCCUCAAAGGGUUUGGCGUUCGUAUGUGUCAGUUUUUUUUGACCUUUCAGCGAAGACGUUACAGUAAGCACAGUUUGACAAAAACGCUUGUAUCAUUACUGCAUUUACAUUCAUGUCGAUCAUUAAAAGCAUUAUUCACUGCAUUAAAAAAAUUGUAAACUUCGUGACAAAAGGAGACAGCGUUUUAUUUGUAAUUUUCAUGUCAUAUCUUUUGUCAUUAUAGUUUUAUACAACAUCGCUUCGUGUUUGGUAAAAGUUAAAUUUACUUCAAAUCAUCUGUAAUAAAAAGUCAAAAAGUAUAAAAAUAUAUAGUAAAAGUGAGAAAGCAUAUAGUUUAUAUACUAAAUUAGACAGAUGGUUUCAUAAACAUAGGCCCACUCGAGAUUGCGCAGUUAAAUUAGUGAAAAUUUUAAGAAAUGAAAAUUAAAUGUAAACGCCUUUUAUAAAUUUGAUUCAGUGGAGAAACCCAUAAUAACCAAUAGCGGAUGGGGUUCAUAGAUUAAUUUCGGAUUGAUCUGAGGAAACGUGUUUAACGACAAAAUUUCCAUUGUCAAACGCGGAAGAAGUAGAAUGUCUAAAUGCAGAAAUAAAAAACAACAAUCGCGAAUGUUAUGUAAAGAUUAUGAAAUAACUUUUUAGACCUGCAAGAGGGGUUGAAAAUCUUAAAGAGAUAUUGACGGACAUUGUUGUCCAAUAAUAUAAUAUUGAUGAAAUUCAUGGAAAAACAUCUUUAAGAAGUCUAGAGAAUUUUUAUUCCACCCUAAUAGAAUCAAUUCCAGAUGUCAAUGACUUCGAACCGGCCGAAAAAAAAAUUGAAUCAUUAAAGGAAAAAGUUUAAAUAAAAAACGUGAUGUAAAUAUUGACAUAUAAAAAUUGUAUCUU